GAAAGCUUUGCAUCAAUCAUACAUGAAAUAAACAAAUUUUUUGUCUACAGUGAAGGAAACGAUUUAGUUCAAUUGGGUACAAAAAAGAGCGAAUGAUUGCGUACUAAUGCUAAAAAAAAUCAUUGAACUGUAAUUAAUAAAAAUACAACAAAGCUAUUUGUUCUUGUUCUCUUCCCUUCUCCCCCCUAACAAGUUCCAUCUUCUUCCCCAGCAAAGAAUGAAUUAUCAUCGUUCAAGACAAAAAGGAAGAAUAUAAAUCAUAUGGUUAUUGUCGUAGUUUAAUCCCUCCGCAACUCUAGGCGACAAAUUUCUUAGGGGAGCCUCUGCUCUAUUUUCGUUAUAUGUGCUUUUAUACAUCUAUGAUCUACCCUCGCUAAAGGCUUGAGUUGACCUAUCACUUCCAGGUCAGGGAAGAAACCUAAUCUUCUGGUUGUACAUAUUGUUGAGGGCUGCGCAAUUUUCAAAUUUUUCUUACUAAAUGUAAUCAAAUACAAUUAGAUACAAUCAUUACAUUUUGACUACAAGGAUGUCCGAGCAAGAAAAUCAUUAACAGCCAGACUAGCAUCUCCAUGGGACACAGCAUCCUCUGGUUCUGGAAUAUAAAGACUAGAAGAUGAAGCCUUUGUAUCCAGCUGCAUCUCUCCAUUACUGUCUGAAGUGAGGCAUGCACCAUGUGCUCUCAACCACUCUACACAUUCCUCUAAUCCAACCGAGUCCUGGUCAUUUCUUUCACUUGUGCUGGAGAAGCCCAAAACCUGUGCAAUGUAUGAAACAGGUACAGUAGGGCGAUAUGACCGGGAUAUGCAGCUUACAGCCUUAUAGCGCAUCUUUUCAACACAGAGAUCCAUGAGGCAUAUGUUCAAGUUAGGAGCUGUCUUGUAAAGUCUGAAGAACAUAACAUAGUUUCCUGAGGUGACAGCUGCACGUACUGCAAGAGCAUGUUUAACAGCUUUAUUCUUCUUUGCUUCCUCUGUUAAUCUGGCAACUCAAACAGCAAAUUCAAAUUAUUUUAAGCACCAAUCAAUGGAGGGGGAACAGAUCUGCUUCUAUAAAUCUAGAAUCAACACAUGAUAAUCAACUGUUGCAUGCAUUAAUAAAUAUAAACAACAACAUAAAAUGAGAUAGAGAGAGAGAUGUAUGCACUACGUACACAAAGGACAAUUCUAAGAGAGAUGCAGUUUGGAUAAAAUUUAAACUAUUAUUCCAAAUCUUAGAAUAGUAUAUCCACAUAAACACUUGUACAGCUCUGUUUAAUUAACUACCAUUGCUCAAAUUUUAUUUGAGUUUGCAUUCAGAUGUAUUCUGAUGACUGAAUUUACAUCUGUAAUAACAGAAUCAGAACAAUAUCUGGCACAUUAACUAUUAGAAUUUCCCUUUCUUUCAUCACCUCUUUCCUGACAUUUCAAUGGUUUAAAAACUAGUUGACACCUUACCGAAUCUUUUCAUGAUACAGAAAAUUUUAGGAGUUCAACACAGCUGGCAAUUAUUAAAA
rnacentral:misc_RNA from 1 species